GGAUUGCGGUUUUGAAACGCGCGAUCGCAAUUGAUGCUGCCGACCCCUACUACAAUGGAUGAUUUUUUUAUAAAGACACGGUAGCGGUACAGGAACUUGAAGGUCCAGAAUUACGCCUUGAAGUAUCCCUCAACCGUGAGAUAAGAAAAUUUGUUGUCAAAUUUGGAUCCCCAAUAGUGAAGUUUAAGUUCCUAAGAUUAAUGACUCUGAGACACGACGAUGGGUUCCCGGCGCCGUUGCCCUCACCGGCAUCGUCGAUCACACCAUCGCCGCCCUCAUCAAAGUCUUCGAUGAAUUAAAUUUAUAUUAUGUAACUAAAAAUAAAUAAUUAAGUAAA